UUAGACAAACGCGGGAGCUCAUUUGAGGCUCCUGAGGAAAGUCCAUGCUCACACAAACUGUGAUGUUUGUAACGAUCGUGCUUAGGGAAAAAAUAACCUAAGGUAGUGAAAGCUAACGACAAAUUAAAGUGCCACAGUGACGAUGCUCUAUUUUUGUAGAGAGUGAAACGAGGUAAACUCCACGAGUGAGAAACCCAAAUUUUGGUAGGGGAGCUUUAGCGAGGUAAUUAAGAACCAGUGCUAGGGACUAGAAAUAGUAGAUAAAUGUUUGUCGCCUUUUAAAGGUACAGAACAUGGCUUAUU
rnacentral:RNase_P_RNA from 1 species